AGAGACAGCAGUAGCCGCGGGAAUACAGAGGGUGCGAGCGUUAAUCGGAUUUACUGGGCGUAAAGCGUGCGUAGGCGGCUUCUUAAGUCGGAUGUGAAAUCCCUGAGCUUAACUUAGGAAUUGCAUUCGAUACUGGGAAGCUAGAGUAUGGGAGAGGAUGGUAGAAUUCCAGGUGUAGCGGUGAAAUGCGUAGAGAUCUGGAGGAAUACCGAUGGCGAAGGCAGCCAUCUGGCCUAAUACUGACGCUGAGGUACGAAAGCAUGGGGAGCAAACAGGAUUAGAUACCCGUUAGUCCCUGUCUCUUACACA
rnacentral:rRNA from 1 species